CAGUACUUUGUUUUAUACGGGGUUGGAGUCUGACAAGAUGCCUGAACUGUCUUUGACCAGAGGAUGCAAGUUAAGUUUCCCACAGUAGCCUAACCCUACAGCCCACUAGGGCUGCCUACCCACAACAUCUUCAUGCAUAGGCUACGUCUGCUGGAAUCGGUUAAACUGCGGAGGCGUGGCAGCGGAGUGAUGGUUUCUUCCACCUGAACCAAGCAGUCCUGCAUGGAUAUGUUUACAUCUGUAAACCCGGGAAGGUAAUCUGGGGAGGAGGUGUUCCCUCACUACUAUAUCGCGAGAACUGGAACUUUACGGCACACCUCAACAAGCCUACUACGUGUCCCUAGUGUGGACCUCAGCACCCUGGAGAGAGGGCUGUUAGCUCCAUCACCCCCAAGCUGUGGAAUUCACUGCCAGACUACAUCAGACUCUGUGACUCAAUUACUGACUUUAAAGGUCCCAUGACAUGGUCCUCUUUGGAUGCUUUUAUUGACAUUCAGGUUUUUAGAAUGGAAAUCAAGAAAUAUUUAAAUUUCAAAGAGGUGAACAAAUCAAUUCAGAUAUGUUUUUCAAAAGAAAAUAUUCAAUAUUAAGUAUUUAGUGGCUGUUAAAGUUCAAAGGCUUAUGUCUCUUAUUAUUCCAUAAACACUAUGUAUUAGAAAAAAAAAUAGAUUUGAACCAAAUUGGGAAUGUACAAGAAACUAUCUGAAGAAGUACCGCAGAAAUGAACAGUGACAGGUUACGUCUCAGCUGGACAGUAACAGUGAGGACAGUUACAUUCUGUAUCCUGAAUAAUUCACUUAGACAGAAGGAGAAAUAACAGCAAAGAAAAUAACCUUUAAACUACAAAACAGUCAUCCAAAACACAAUGCAUGAGUUAUUAUAAAGCACUUUAUUUAUAUGCAGACUAAAUCAUUCUCACUCAUAAUAAAGAGAAGCUUAAGGCUGGAAGCUCAUUCAAAACCACACAACAAUGUGUAAAA